AUAGGUGUUGUAUAACCGCCUUGUAUGCUGUAUAUCUCGGGGCGUUAAGCGGAGCUCCAACCAGUAAUCAUCUGACCUCCGUCGGAUGCUGUCAAACAUGGAGAGACGUGCGUUGUUGCUCUGUUUUCUGGUAGUUGCGUCGCUAGCCAUGUUGACGGACGCCUACCCAGGAGUGUUACCAAGAGAUCCUGCUGGUUGCUUGUGUUAUAAACUGCCCUGCUUGUGUGAUCCGGACUCAUUGCCUUCAAGCGAUCCUCCGAACACCAGAGAUGAUAACUCGCCAUUCCACUUGAGAAAUUCUUGAUUCCUGUGGUGUUUAAUGUUUAAUAUGCAUGCAAUAAUCUGUCUGUUGCUCAGAAGAAAAGAUGUGUUUGUUGGUGUGUGUGCUUGCUUGAUGAUAUAAAUAUAGAUUUAUUCUUGA
rnacentral:lncRNA from 1 species